rnacentral:rRNA from 1 species
AUACGGAGUGGCGCACGGGUGAGUAACACGUGGGUAAUCUGCCUUAGAGUGGGGGAUAACCAGUCGAAAGAUUGGCUAAUACCGCAUAAGACCACAAGAUCUGCGGAUCAAGGGGUUAAAGGUUUUUCGCUCUAAGAUGAGCCCGCGUAAGAUUAGCUAGUUGGUGAGGUAAUGGCUCACCAAGGCGACGAUCUUUAGCUGGUCUGAGAGGAUGAUCAGCCACACUGGAACUGAGACACGGUCCAGACUCC